AGUGAACGCUGGCGGUAGGCCUAACACAUGCAAGUCGAACGGCAGCACAGUAAGAGCUUGCUCUUACGGGUGGCGAGUGGCGGACGGGUGAGGAAUACAUCGGAAUCUACUUUUUCGUGGGGGAUAACGUAGGGAAACUUACGCUAAUACCGCAUACGACCUACGGGUGAAAGCAGGGGAUCUUCGGACCUUGCGCGAUUGAAUGAGCCGAUGUCGGAUUAGCUAGUUGGCGGGGUAAAGGCCCACCAAGGCGACGAUCCGUAGCUGGUCUGAGAGGAUGAUCAGCCACACUGAAACUGAGACACGGUCCAGACUCCUACGGGAGGCAGCAGUGGGGAAUAUUGGACAAUGGGCGCAAGCCUGAUCCAGCCAUACCGCGUGGGUGAAGAAGGCCUUCGGGUGGUAAAGCCCUUUUGUUGGGAAAGAAAAGCAGCAGGUUAAUACCCCGCUGUUCUGACGGUACCCAAAGAAUAAGCACCGGCUAACUUCGU
rnacentral:rRNA from 1 species